CUUUCCUGUGUACUUCAUAUCAUCUUCCAAAGCCACAUAUCUCUUCCAGAAAUCACCAAGAACAAUCC
rfam:Neotoma lepida isolate 417 scaffold_137, whole genome shotgun sequence.